GGUGGUGGUUGAUACAGGUGAUGGUUGUGAUGUGACGUUGCUUGAUGUUACCAGUUGAAAGUGUUGAUUGUGAUGACUGAAAAAUGAAUGAAUGAUGGUUGACGAUGUGUUGGUGUUAGUUGGAGAUGCUGAUAGUUGUGAUGGUGGAGAUGAUUGUUAGUAGAGAUAAAUAGUAGCGAUGGUAGUGGCUGAAGUUAUAAUAGAGGUGGCAUUACUAGUGAUAAUGGUGGUGGCGGCCGAAGAAUGUGUGGAGGUUGUGAUGUAUUAGUGGUAGUUAGCGGUGAUGUUAGUUGUGAUAGAUGAGUUGAUUGAUAGUAGGGAUUGGCCGGUAGUGGUUGAUGAUGGUGGUGCUGUUGACGACGGUGGUAGCGGUGAAUAUAAUAAGAAUAAUAAAGGCAGUAAGUGUGGUAACGAUUGACAAUAGUAGUUGGUAGCUAUAUUUGUUGUCGAUGGUGGUUGUGAUGGUGGAGGUGGUUGGUGGUGGUUGACAAUGGUGGCGGUGGCAGAGGUGGUUAGAGGUGGUUAGAGGUGGUUAGUGGUGGUGACUGAUAAUUAUGAAUAGAGUGAUGGUGAAUAUUAUCCAACACCACAAUACCUCUUUAGACUUGAUUCU
rnacentral:lncRNA from 1 species